UACGUAGGGCGCAAGCGUUGUCCGGAAUUAUUGGGCGUAAAGAGCUCGUAGGCGGCCAGUUGAGUCUGCUGUGAAAUCCUGGGGCUCAACCCCGGGCCUGCAGCCGAUACGGGCAAACUAGAAUUCGGUAGGGGAGACUGGAAUUCCUGGUGUAGCGGUGAAAUGCGCAGAUAUCAGGAGGAACACCGGUGGCGAAGGCGGGUCUCUGGGCCGAUAUUGACGCUGAGGAGCGAAAGCGUGGGGAGCGAACAGG
rnacentral:rRNA from 1 species